CUUCAGCGACCCCAGCCACAGCGGGCGGUCAUGAGUCCUCUCCUGUCCGUACGUGGCGAUGAGCGCCUGCGCCUC
rnacentral:antisense_RNA from 1 species